UGGGGAAUUUUGCGCAAUGGGGGCAACCCUGACGCAGCAACGCCGCGUGCGGGACGACGGCCUUCGGGUUGUAAACCGCUUUCAGCAGGGAAGAAAUUCGACGGUACCUGCAGAAGAAGCUCCGGCUAACUACGUGCCAGCAGCCGCGGUAAUACGUAGGGAGCGAGCGUUAUCCGGAUUCAUUGGGCGUAAAGAGCGCGUAGGCGGCCUCUCAAGCGGGAUCUCUAAUCCGAGGGCUCAACCCCCGGCCGGAUCCCGAACUGGGAGGCUAGAGUUCGGUAGAGGCAGGCGGAAUUCCCGGUGUAGCGGUGGAAUGCGCAGAUAUCGGGAAGAACACCGAUGGCGAAGGCAGCCUGCUGGGCCGCAACUGACGCUGAGGCGCGAAAGCUAGGGGAGCGAACAGG
rnacentral:rRNA from 1 species